AAAAGAGAGUAAGAAGUUAGGCAUUGUGAUUCAAAGAAAAGGGUAAAACGCCCUCUAUGCUAUAAGUUUAGAAGAAAAGCCUUAAGUUUACCAAAGUUUAAAACCAAACCCGCUAGACUCUUGAAUCAUUU
rnacentral:sRNA from 1 species